rnacentral:rRNA from 1 species
AUUGAACGCUGGCGGCAUGCCUUACACAUGCAAGUCGAACGGUAACAGGUUAAGCUGACGAGUGGCGAACGGGUGAGUAAUGUAUCGGAACGUGCCCAGUCGUGGGGGAUAACUGCUCGAAAGAGCAGCUAAUACCGCAUACGACCUGAGGGUGAAAGCGGGGGAUCGCAAGACCUCGCGCGAUUGGAGCGGCCGAUAUCAGAUUAGGUAGUUGGUGGGGUAAAGGCCUACCAAGCCUACGAUCUGUAGCUGGUCUGAGAGGACGGCCAGCCACACUGGGACUGAGACACGGCCCAGACUCCUACGGGAGGCAGCAGUGGGGAAUUUUGGACAAUGGACGCAAGUCUGAUCCAGCCAUGCCGCGUGCGGGAAGAAGGCCUUCGGGUUGUAAACCGCUUUUGUCAGGGAAGAAAAGGCUUCUGCUAAUACCGGAGGCUCAUGACGGUACCUGAAGAAUAAGCACCGGCUAACUACGUGCCAGCCGCCGCGGUAACAC